rfam:Vitis vinifera, whole genome shotgun sequence of line PN40024, unoriented chromosome 18, chr18
AAAUGUGAAUGAUGAGAACAAGAAAUAUACAGUUAUCCCUGUCUGAUCUUUUGACUGCUGAUGUUUCUUACAUCUGACGCUUUU